CGGCCGUCCCCGCCCCCUUCCCGGCCCGCAGCUGCUGGUGAGGUGGCCGUGGCCGCGGCUCCGGCGGUCCGGCGCCCCCUUGCCGGCCCUCUGCUACUGGUGAGCACCAGCUCCGGCGGUCCGGCGCCCCCUUGCCGGCCCUCUGCUACUGGCUUUCUGGUGUUGCAUAUCUUUGGAGUCAUCAUCGUCGAAGGCAUUGGUCUGUGAUUUCGUCGCUGUUUGACUACUUCGUCUACAGUCGAGGAUUUUGGUGAGAUCUCCUCUCCACCGCCGUCACUCCCACUGCCACUCCUCUCUACCACUGCUGCACGGAUCCAUGGCGGAGUCAGCAAGUCUCCUCCAUGGCCUCCAGGAUGACAUCUUCAUGUUUGAGAUCCUCGUUCGCCUGCCCCCCAAAUCCCUCCUUCGCUGCCGUGCAGUCUGCCACGCCUGGCGCGGCGCCACCUCCGACCGCGACUUCCUUGUCGCCCACCACGCCCGCCAGCCCUCAUUCCCCCUCCUUUAUGCUGAAAUUGACGACCCAUCGUCCAUAGACAUCCUCAUCCCCUUCCCCUCCGACCACCGGGCAGACGACAAGCUCCAGUCCGUCGCCCGACUUCAUGGUGCCCACGACCUCAUUCCCAUGGCCUGCUGUGACGGCCUCCUUGUCUUCACCACCUGCGGGGCUGAACGCCUCUCCAUCUGCAACCCGGCCACUCGUCAGUAUGCACGUCUCAACCAGCUUGAUGGCUUCACGGUUUUGGGGGUGUACCCGCACAGCCCUACCAGCGAGUACCGACAACUGCUCUGUGUCUGCCCGGAAACUGAUGCUCAAAGUGGCUUUUACGUCUUCACAUUAGCCUCUGACCAGCAGCCGAGGCCCAUCGGGGCGUGCCCUCCUGCCAAGGAACUGUUGCGACACGAACCCGUCCUUUUCCGUGGUAGCCUGCAUUGGGGCACACAGCGACUGAUGAUGGUAUUUGACACCACUGCUGAGUUGUUCCGGCACAUGCGCUCUCCGAUUGUUCCCGGCCAUGCCAAGUCUGACCUGUUUGAGAUGGAUGACUUGCUUGGCCUGUACAUUCUUAAUCAAGAAGAGACCCUUGUUCAUGUCUGGGUGAUGCAGGACUACGAAGCCCAAGUCUAGGCCUCCAAAGCCCGGGUUCAAUUGCCGAUUGCAGAGCUAAGUGUCCGCGGUUUUUGGUAUGUGCAUGUUGCAUAUUGGGAUGGUGAUGUGCACGUGCUGGUCAAUAAUGACAAGGACUCGCUACUUCAGUUUGACAUCGAUGGCAAGUUGGUUGCUAGUCUCCACCGCAGAUUUCUCUGCCAUAGUGGACUUCGGCUCAAACAAUCUCUAGUUUCACAUACCUGCUUUCCGGCACCAGAGGAUUAUGUUCACCUUUCAUCUGACUAGAUUGUUAUGUUCUGAAUAUUAUUUAGCUUUUCAUCAGAGCCUGUAUCAAGGUCUCAAUUUGUUCACUUUUGCCCCCCCCCCCCCUGUAGCGGUCUCUACUUAAUACUUGAUCGUUAGCAAUCUAGAUGGCUCUUGGUCUCUGUUCAUUGAACCGAAUAAUUGACCUUCCCUUUUUAUUGAGGUCUUCAUUUUUAGAGUUUACCCAGUUAUCCUUUUAAUACUAAAUAUUUAGAAAAUGUACAGUUGAUUCAUGUUUCUUUGUUUUGUUUUAGCAAAUGGUGAAAUAAGGCAGAUUAUUCUCCUUGUUGACUAGCUAGUUGCACCUGAUUUCAGAAGAGAUUGCAACACUACUUAAAUUGAAUGAUUGCAUUAUAGUUAACUUUCAACUCAAUAUGAUGUUGCCGUUCAUUCAUGUUCAUGAUUCCAUUAACAUCUGGUCAGGUAUUGAAACAUAAUGUUAUAAUUCUGCCUUUGUGUUGUAUCGUUUAGAAUUACAUAUAUAACUUCACUUUAACUACUAACCACUUUAAGGAAUCAUUGCUUCAUGUGAUCUUCGAUUUUAAAAUAUGCUCGAGAAAUGGAACUUGGUACUAAUGAGCAGAAGAUUAAAAACUGGGUCCACCAUUAGCCGACUAGUUCCAUUUUGAUGUAUAUACGAGUUAUGAUCAAUGAUCUGUGAAUGUUUCAUGGUUGCUUGAAAUUUAUACUUGUGUGAAUAUCCUUUUGGGAUGAAGUAGCUAGCAUGAUGAUGCCACAACUAUUCACUCAUUUUGGCCGACGUUCGAAAUUGUUGCUAAUUGACUUGCCCCAUGCCUACCCCAACUUGCUUGGGACUAAAGGCUUUGUUGUUGUUGUUGUUGACUUGCCCCAUGCCUCUGUUUUUCUAUCUGAAGAAUUGACUUGGAUUUUUUUAUCAGUGUCUUCUUCUUUCUUAGAGAUCAUCCAGUGAUUUUCUUAUAAUACUAAAUAUUUAGCCAAUAUACAUCAGUUUCCUGUUUCCAAGUAUUGUUCUAGCCCACUAUUAAAUGUGGCCAUCAUCCUCUCAAUUGUUUCAGUAGCAAGUAGAACCUCAUUGGUGUUCUUUUUUGACACCUGAAACAGUAGGAGAGGCUCCUACUGUAUAUAUUGAAUUAAAGUAGAACCUCAUUGUUAGAGGAGCUUUAUGCGCUGAUUGUUAAAUUGAAUGCAAUGAUCACAUUACAGUCAGCUUGUCAGUGAAAUGUUUUGUUGCAAUUCAUUCUUCUUCAUCCGGCCAUUGCACCUGGCUCGGUAUUAAUUGCCGUUAUUGAUCACAGAUCAUAUGAUGUGCCAUUCCUGCAGGGUAAUUCCUUAGUUGUUCACAUUAGUUGUAGGCUACUAAGAUAUUAUAAAUAGUGGAGAAAUUCUUUGGAGUAUGGUUACAGUUUACAAUGUUGAUUCAGUAUACAAGUUUAAUACUCGUGAACAGCUGAAACUGUAGUUAUUGUUCUUGUACCACAGCAACAACGCGGGCAUCCUUGACUGUAUUCUUUGUUUUGCGGAGCUAGCUUCUUUUAACCAAUUAUGUGGUACCCUUGGCUUAAGAACGGAAAGAAAUCUACAAGUAAGGCCAUUGGUUUAGGAGCUCAUAGCUGGGGUGAGGUUAACUUAAGCUGAGAGUCAGUUAAGAACACCCAGCCAAAACAGUGAAACAUGUGUGAGAAACAACAGAACCAAACCAAAAGGAGGAAGACCAGGGAAAAAUGGUUCAAACACUGGGUGGAAAGAAUACUAGGUGAAAAAUCAGAUGCAAAAUGGUGGGAAACAAAAAAAAUUGUAGAUUAGAAAAUAAACAAAGAAAAAACUAGCGGUACUUUAAAGUUCCUAGGAUUGUUCAGCAGUACUUGCUAGGAGGUUUUCACCCUGUUUCUUGAGUAGAUAUGUACCUAGCAAAAGAAGUACCUAUCAUCCAAAUUAACAUGCCACGGUCCAAAUUAACUUAACCUUUGCUUUCCCAGUUAUCUAGAGGUCCGAAUUAACAUGUACCUAGUUUUUAUUGAGGUUUACUUUUCUAGAGAUUAUCCACUUGUCUUUUUUAAUACUAAUUAUUUAGCAAAUGCAAUUUUGGUUCCCAUUUUGUGUUUUGUUUUAGCCGACGGUGAAAUGAGGCAGAUUUUCCUCCUUGUUGGCUAGCAAGUUGCACCUGAUUUUUAUAAGAGCGUGGCGUGCUAGUUAAAUUGAAUGACUGCAUUAUAGUCAACUUUCAAGUGAAAUGUUCUGUUUGUGUAGCAACGCUCGUUGCGAUGUCCCUCCUCGUCCUAGUCCCUGGUCCUCGAGACAGACAGAGAGAGAGCUGUGGGGGACGGGGAGGGAACCGAGGUGGAGGAGGAAGCCCGGAGCCUGCGUGAAAAGAAAGGACCUCGAAAAGCGCGCCAGAGCUCUCCCUCAUCCUCGUGAGCAGCGGCGCCGACCAGUUGCUCAACUCUUUUCUUGGCUCCUUCUCGGUUCUGUCAGCGGCGACCGGCGGGCGACCAGUCGUCUAGCGGCUCGUGGCGAGCUCUCCUCCUCUCCUGGUCACUAGUGCGCGCGCCAUGAUGGACCAGGGGCACCUGGACUUCAUCAUGCGCCGCCACCACCACCAGCAGGGCGGCAUGGGGUUUGCUCCCGUACGUCGACCGCGGCGACAGCGAGGAGGCGCUGGCCGGGGUCGUCGGAGUCGGAGCCGGCAAGAGGGCCCGCGCCGCUGAGGUGCACAACCUCUCCGUGAAGAUCAACGAGAAGAUGAAGGCAACUCUUACUCCAGCAAGACGGACAAAGCCUCCAUGCUCGACGACGCCAUCGAGUACCUCAAGCACCUCCAGCUCCAAGUGCUCCCCUGAAUUUUCUCAACAGAAAAGUUUAUGCUGUGUCAUCCCCUGAAAAAUCAUACUAUGUGCUGGUCAACACUGCUGAACGAAAAAUGUGAAUAUGUGACAAGGUUGAAAGCCCUUAAUUUGGCAACAACAACAACAAAAAGCCCCCCUUAAUUUGGUAACUGUUCUGUUGAGUGCAGAGUAUAAGCUUGCGAUGAAGCCCCCCUUCCUCUGCAAAUGCACAACAGCAAACUGUCAGUACUUCAUUCCCAUAUAUAGUGUUUCCACUUGUUUUCUGUGUUUUCUUAUCCAUGCCAGAUGAUCUUUCAAGAGGAGGCAAUGUUGAAGCAUCGGCUAAGUUCAACUCAAGAGACCACCUCCGUGCCAUGCCAGGAAAUGAGAUGAAGCCUGUUAGGCCUGCAGCGAAGGCUGGUCAUUUCGAUGCAUGUUCAAUCUGGAAAAAUCAAUCGCCAAAUAAUCCGGAAAGCGUUCUGUUUGCGCCUCACUUGCAUAGGUAAUUUUUCAUCCUGGCAUGUAUGCAGUCAUAACGGGAGCGGAUCCUUUCAGAAAAAAAAACUGUUGAGAGGAUUUUUUUUCUCUUUUUGGUGAGUCAUGGUGCUAUUUUUCAGUGUAAGCAUUUUUUAGGAAGUUAAGGAGUCGGAAGACUUGAAGUAUGAUCCAUCUGCUUGCUUGUUGUAAGUUGUAACCUGUACUUCAGUACCUGUUUUAGGACUCCUAAAAAAUUAGGUUGGAGUCACUGAUUUUGAUCUAAUAGUAACCUUUAUUUUUGGUUUA